GCAAAACAGGAGAGGGAGGGAAAAUUGAGGGAAUGAUGACCGGAAUCUAAACCCUAACCCUAACCUAACCAUGCCCCUAACAGGAUUAGGGGUAGGGGUUAGGUUAGGGGUAGGAGUAGGGUUAGGGUUUGAUUCCUGUCAUCAUUCCCUCAAUUUUCCCUCCCUCUCCUGUUUUGCU